rnacentral:rRNA from 1 species
UACGGAGGAUGCAAGCGUUAUCCGGAAUUAUUGGGCGUAAAGCGUCCGUAGGUGGAAGUUCAAGUCAGCUGUUAAAGCGUGAGGCUUAACCUCAUAACGGCAGUUUGAAACUGAGCAUCUAGAGUGCGAUAGGGGCAAGGGGAAUUCCCAGUGUAGCGGGUGAAAUGCGUAGAUAUUGGGAAGAACACCGGUGGCGAAAGCGCCUUGCUGGGUCUGCACUGACACUGAGGGACG